rnacentral:piRNA from 1 species
UAGAAUCAGUUUGAUGACCAUGGGGCUGC